GGUUCUAGCUCAGUUGUUUAGAGCAUCGUGCUAAUAACGCGAAGGUCUUGGGUUCGAGAUCCUAUUGGGAGCA